GAACUCUCUACUUCUUUGGUGAUUUUUUGGCCAUAAAAUUAGAAAGGAAAAAGAAGCUUCACCUGAGCCUCAUACAUACAUCAAGCAGCCAAAGUCUAAACAGAGAAGAAAGUCAGUGGGUCAGAAAAGCUUCUUGGGAGGAUCGUCAUAUUUGGAGUGAUCAUGUUUACCAUUUCAGAGGGAUUUGCUGUUAUAUCUGCAACUAAGAACCUCAAACUACCGUUCAUGGAAGAUGUAUUUGCAUCAGGGAGCACAAGAUUUUUGGAAUGGGUGGUUUCGGAAAAUCAGUUAACACAAGAGGCAUCUCAGCCCGAUGCCACAAAUCCAAUUCCCGAUCCCCCAAAAGGAACGAGCCUUC